GUGGACGGCCACACCACCCUGAACUCUCCUGAUCGCUGCUGACUUUGGAAGCUAAGCAGGGUUGGGCCUGGUUAGGACUUGGAUGGGAGAAUGGAGGGCCCAGCACAUUGAGUGCUGCCAGGA
rnacentral:rRNA from 1 species